rnacentral:rRNA from 1 species
GUAGGGAAUAUUGGGCAAUGGAUGCAAGUCUGACCCAGCCAUCCCGCGUGCCGGAAGAAGGCCCUCAGGGUUGUAAACGGCUUUUGACGGUGAAGAAUCGACAGGAUGCGUCCUGUUUUGACGGUAGCCGUUGAAUAAGCACCGGCUAACUCCGUGCCAGCAGCCGCGGUAAUACGGAGGGUGCGAGCGUUGUCCGGAUUUAUUGGGUUUAAAGGGUGCGUAGGCUGGAAGGUCAGUCAGCGGUGAAGAGCUGUCGCUUAACGAUAGUCUUGCCGCAGAUACUUCCUUUCUUGGAUGAGGAGGAGGCCACUGGAACGGAUGGUGUAGCGGUGAAAUGCAUAGAUAUCAUCCAGAACACCGAUUGCGAAGGCAGGUGGCUGUACCUUAAUCGACGCUGAUGCACGAAAGCAUGGGGAGCAAACAGGAUUAGAAACCCCAGUAGUCC